UACGGGGGGAGCAAGCGUUGUUCGGAUUUACUGGGCGUAAAGGGCGCGUAGGCGGCGCAACAAGUCACUUGUGAAAUCUCCGGGCUUAACCCGGAGCGGUCAAGUGAUACUGUCGUGCUAGAGUGCGGAAGGGGCUACUGGAAUUCUCGGUGUAGCGGUGAAAUGCGUAGAUAUCGAGAGGAACACCUGGCGGCGAAGGCGGGUAGCUGGGCCGACACUGACGCUGGAUGACGCGAAAGCGUGGGGAGCGAACAGG
rnacentral:rRNA from 1 species